UCAUACCAUGUCGAAAUUACCGGUUCCCGUACGAUCACUAAAGUUAAGCAACGUCGAGCCUAGUCAGUACCUAGACGGGUGGUCGCUUGGGAAUUCCAUGUACUGUAAG